rnacentral:rRNA from 1 species
AGCGAACGCUGGCGGCGUGCUUAACACAUGCAAGUCGAACGUGAAAUGUAGCAAUACAGAGUAAAGUGGCGUACGGGUGAGUAACACGUGGGUAAUCUACCUUAGGGUCUAGAAUAGCCGGCCGAAAGGCUGGCUAAUACUAGAUAGUUCAAGCGCACUGUAGAGGUGUGAUUGGGAAAGGGAGCUCGCAAGAGCCUUUGCUUUAAGAUGAGCCCGCGUCUGAUUAGCUAGUUGGUAAGGUAAUGGCUUACCAAGGCGAUGAUCAGUAGCUGGUCUGAGAGGAUGAUCAGCCACACUGGAACUGAAACACGGUCCAGACUCCUACGGGAGGCAGCAGUGGGGAAUCUUGCGCAAUGGACGAAAGUCUGACGCAGCCACGCCGCGUGAGUGAAGAAGGCCUCGGUUGUAAAGCUCUGUCGGAAGGGACGAAAAACGUUAGGGUUAAGUAGCCUAGAUCUUGAUGGUACCUUUAAAGGUAAGACACCGGCUAACUUCGUG